rnacentral:rRNA from 1 species
ACGAAGGGUGCAAGCGUUAAUCCGAAUUACUGGGCGUAAAGGGUGCGUAGGCGGUUCGUUAAGUCUGUCGUGAAAUCCCCGGGCUCAACCUGGGAAUGGCGAUGGAUACUGGCGAGCUAGAGUGUGUCAGAGGAUGGUGGAAUUCCCGGUGUAGCGGUGAAAUGCGUAGAGAUCGGGAGGAACAUCAGAGGCGAAGGCGACACCCUGGGCCGUACCUGACGCUAAGACGCGACAGCACGGGGAGCGAACGG